rnacentral:rRNA from 1 species
AGGAUAACGCUGGGCGGCGUGCCUAACACAUGCAAGUCGAACGACCUUGUUGUCGCAAGAGAGCGAGGGAGUGGCGGACGGGUGAGUAACACAUGGGUGACCUGGCCUGAAGAGAGGGGAUACCGGCGAGAAAUGGCCGACAAGCCGGCAUUGAGUUUUUUUUUGGUAGAGCGGCGAGAGCAUAGUUUCUUUUUCGGAAGAGACGCUUUAGGAUGGGCCUGUGGCCGAUUAGCUAGUUGGUGAGGUAAGAGCUCACCAAGGCGUCGAUCGGUAGCUGGUCUGAGAGGACGAUCAGCCACACUGGGAUUGAGAACGGCCCAGACUCCUACGGGGGGCAGCAGUGAGGAAUUUUCCGCAAUGGGGGUAACCCUGACGGAGCAACUCCGCGUGCAGGAGGACGCUUUUCGGAGUGUAAACUGUUUUCUGUGGGAAGAGCUACGGACGGUCCACAGGAAGAAGCCCCGGCUAACUACGUGCCAGCAGCCGCGGUAAUACGUAGGGGGCGAGCGUUGUCCGGAGUUACUGGGCGUAAAGGGCACGCAGGCGGUCGUACGCGUUUCGGGUGACAGCGGGUGGCUUAACUGCCCGAGUGUUCGAAAGACGGUACGACUUGAGGGCUCGAGAGGGACACGGAAUUCCGGGUGGAGUGGUGAAAUGUGUAGAGAUCCGGAGGAACACAGAAGGCGAAGGCAGUGUCCUGGCGAGUGACUGACGCUGAGGUGCGAAAGCCAGGGGAGCGAACGGGAUUAGAUACCCCGGUAGUCCUGGCCGUAAACGAUGACCACCAGGUGUGGGAGGUAUCGACCCCUUCCGUGCCGGAGUUAACACACUAAGUGGUCCGCCUGGGGAGUACGGUCGCAAGAUUAAA